GACGAACGCUGGCGGCGUGCCUAAUACAUGCAAGUAGAACGCUGAAGGAGGAGCUUGCUUCUCUGGAUGAGUUGCGAACGGGUGAGUAACGCGUAGGUAACCUGCCUGGUAGCGGGGGAUAACUAUUGGAAACGAUAGCUAAUACCGCAUAAUAGUAGAUGUUGCAUGACAUUUGCCUAAAAGGUGCAAUUGCAUCACUACCAGAUGGACCUGCGUUGUAUUAGCUAGUUGGUGGGGUAACGGCUCACCAAGGCGACGAUACAUAGCCGACCUGAGAGGGUGAUCGGCAACACUGGGACUGAGACACGGCCCAGAGUCCUACGGGAGGCAGCAGUAGGGAAUCUUCGGCAAUGGACGGAAGUCUGACCGAGCAACGCCGCGUGAGUGAAGAAGGUGUUCGGAUCGUAAAGCUCUGUUGUAAGAGAAGAACGAGUGUGAGAGUGGAAAGUUCACACUGUGACGGUAUCUUACCAGAAAGGGACGGCUAACUACGU
rnacentral:rRNA from 1 species